ensembl:lncRNA
CCCCUAGAAAAGGUGUGUUAUUAUAAUGCUCCUCCCCCCUAGUAAAGGUGUGUUAUUAUUAUGCUCCUCCUCCCCCUAGUAAAGGUGUGUUAUUAUAAUGCUCCUCCUCCCCCUAGUAAAGGUGUGUUAUAAUGCUCCUCCUCCCCCUAGUAAAGGUGUGUUAUUAUGCUCCUCCUCCCCUAGAAAAGGUGUGUUAUUAUAAUGCUCCUCCUCCACCCUAGAAAAGGUGUGUUAUUAUUAUGCUCCUCCUCCCCCUAGAAAAGGUGUGUUAUAAUGCUCCUCCUCCCCCCUAGUAAAGGUAACAUUAGUGCUGUUGAAACUAUUGCAUUUCUAGGGUUCAUAUUUCCUUAUCAAAGUGCUGAGUGUCAAAGACAAAAAUAAUAAUAAUUUUGCACUUUAAUAUUUGUUUGUCUUCAAAAUGAACAACUAAUCUCUUCCAACAGUUCAUACACUAACUUUGUCAAUAAGAAAUACAAUUUUAAUAGCAUUAAGAAAGAAAAUGUAGAAAAGUGUUUUGGGGUGGGGUGGGGGUGGGGUGGGGG